rnacentral:rRNA from 1 species
AGUGAACGCUGGCGGCAGGCCUAACACAUGCAAGUCGAACGGACGCACCGUAAGUGCUUGCUCUUACGGGUGGCGAGCGGCGGACGGGUGAGGUAUACAUCGGAAUCCACUGUUACGCGGGGGAUAACGUAGAGUAACCCAUGCUAAUACCGCAUAUGACCCACGGGUGGAAGCAGGGGACCUUCGGACCUGGCGGGAAGGAAAGAGCCGAUCUCGGAGUCGCUAGGUGGCGGGGUAAAGGCCCAGCAAGGCGACGAUCCGUAGCUGGUCCGAGAGGAUGAUCAGCUACACUGGAACUGAGACACGGUCCCGACUCCUACGGUGGGCCGCAGUGGGGACUACUGCACAAGGGGGCCGUGCCUGAUCCAGCCCUACCGCCUGAGUGAUGAAGCCCUUCUGGUUGUUGAGCCCUUUUGUUGUUAAGGUUGUGCAACUGUUUAAUCCCCCACUGUUCUGACGGUACCCAGAGAAUAAGCCCCGGCUAACUUCGUG